ACACCUCAACUCCUCAUGGUUUGCCAUGAUGAGCUUGGACUUUGGGGGUCUUGCUGGCCUAUGGUUGGCUCCUCUCAAAUGGAUCAGCUUGCCAGUGUUUGGUGGCACCACAGGUGUGAUAAAUAUCUACGCUUGUGGUGUUCCACUAUGCAACCUUCAGCAAUGAAGGUUCACUGGAGCUCACAAAUGUCUCUCCUCAUCGAGGACAGCUUUUUAAA
rnacentral:misc_RNA from 1 species